rnacentral:rRNA from 1 species
GCUUAAUACAUGCAAGUCGAGCGACGAAAGCGAAGUGGGUAACCACUUCGCCUGAAAGCGGCGAACGGGUGAGUAACACGUGGGUAACGUGCCCCGGACUCUGGGAUAACAACGGGAAACCGUUGCUAAUACCGGAUAACCCUGCACCACCGCAUGGCGGAGCAGGCAAAGAAUGUUCGGGCUGGGAUCGGCCCGCGGCGUAUCAGCCUGUUGGUGGGGUAACGGCCUACCAAGGCAGUGACGCGUAGCUGGCGUGAGGGCGCGACCAGCCACACUGGGACUGGUACACGGCCCAGACUCCUACGGGAGGCAGCAGUAGGGAAUCGUGCGCAAUGGGCGAAGGCCUGACGCAGCGACGCCGCGUGAGGGAUGAAGGCCUUCGGGUUGUAAACCUCUUUCAGCAGGGACGAAAUUGACGGUACCUGCAGAAGAAGGUCCGGCCAACUACGUGCCAGCAGCCGCAGUAAUAC